AUUCUGCCAGACACAUCAUUUGAAUGCCAUUCCCUCAAUUAUUGGCAGUUUAUGCAAGAUUAACCGAACUGGGAGUUCAUCUUUUAAGAUCAAUGGGCUGCAGGAAAGUGGAUUGAGGAAGGGCCAGAUUUGGAUAACGAGACUAAUGGAAGUUUCCUUGCUGUAAUUGCUAACUCUCUUCGGAUCCUAUGUAAUCACCCUAAUGACUUCAUUUUCUAAACAGCAAAGCCCAGAUUGCGUCAUUAUAAUGUAAAGCUUUUGCUUACAAUUGUGGGAAGUGGUGCCUUCCACAAUAGUCUGUGGCAGAUGAGUAUAUGAAUCAGGAAGACUUACCAGAUCUUCCUAUGAAUUAUUACUUUGUUUUAGAAUAUGAUGCUCCUUUCACCAGUUAAUCUGAAAUUAGCAAGCAUGGGAUAUGCAUUCAAGAUUUACAGGGAAGAAUUCUUGCUUACUAGUUGUGCCGCAACAUGAGCUCAUAUUGUUCUUCACGUUGAGAGCUGUGCAAUUUUGGAGGCUCUACAGCAUGCAGGGAUUUAAUGAAUUUAAAAGCACUUGGACAAGUUCGGACUCUCUUCAAGCUGUUAGAUUCCUGAACAAUUUUGUUAAGAAACAUCCUAAAUGAUAUGUAUUUUGUUAUCUAAGAGAGUGAACAUUAUCAAAUGCGGUUUCUUGUACAAGUAAUAAGAAGAACCACAUCACAGCUAAACAGUCUCCUAUCUGUGGAGUGGUGACUCAAUCAAUUACCAAUUCGCUAUGAACACUUAAUUUUAACUUAAAAUGACCAAUGCAAAUCACUUGGCAACAAGUGAGAAUAAUAUAGUUAUGCCAAGCUGAAUAUGAACUAAGGUUGUAGGAGAGUAACAAAAGAAGCAAGGAUAAUAGAGUAGUUGGCUGCAAUAAUAUGAAUGGAGAUCAAGGAUGAGAUGGAUAUGAUCAUUCUUGUUGUUACUAAACCUUUUACCGUCCAACAAUUAGAUCGAUAGUAGCAUACAAUCACAAUCAAACCAAAUAGGAGCUGUAUUCAUAUGUUUAUUUUAACAACUUUCAUACAUAACUACAAGAUUAGCAAUCACAAAGGGGGAAUGCAGUAGGUUCUUCAGAAGCAAUUCUUUAAGUUUUUC
rnacentral:lncRNA from 1 species